AUUGAACGCUGGCGGCAUGCCUUACACAUGCAAGUCGAACGGCAGCACGGGAGCUUGCUCCUGGUGGCGAGUGGCGAACGGGUGAGUAAUGCAUCGGAACGUGCCCUGAAGUGGGGGAUAACGUAGCGAAAGUUACGCUAAUACCGCAUAUUCUGUGAGCAGGAAAGCAGGGGAGUCGCAAGACCUUGCGCUGAUUGAGCGGCCGAUAUCAGAUUAGCUAGUUGGUGAGGUAAAGGCUCACCAAGGCGACGAUCUGUAGCGGGUCUGAGAGGAUGAUCCGCCACACUGGAACUGAGACACGGUCCAGACUCCUACGGGAGGCAGCAGUGGGGUAAUUUUGGACAAUGGGCGCAAGCCUGAUCCAGCCAUGCCGCGUGAGUGAAGAAGGCCUCGGUUGUAAGAC
rnacentral:rRNA from 1 species